rnacentral:rRNA from 1 species
CCUACGGGAGGCAGCAGUGGGGAAUAUUGCACAAUGGGGGAAACCCUGAUGCAGCGACGCCGCGUGAAGGAAGAAGGUCUUCGGAUCGUAAACUUCUAUCAGCAGGGAAGAAGGAAGUGACGGUACCUGACUAAGAAGCCCCGGCUAACUACGUGCCAGCAGCCGCGGUAAUACGUAGGGGGCAAGCGUUAUCCGGAAUCACGGGGUGUAAAGGGUGGGUAGGCGGUAGGGCAAGUCAGAAGUGAAAGCGCGGAGCUCAACUCGUGGAUUGCAUUUGAAACUGUCUUACUAGUGUGCAGGAGAGGAAAGCAGGAUUCCCAGUGUAGCGGUGAAAUGCGUAGAUAUUAGGAAGAUCACCCGUGGCGAAGGCGGCUUUCUGGACUGUAACUGACGCUGAGGUACGAAAGCGUGGGGAGCGAAAAGGAUUAGAUACCCGAGUAGUC